UACGAAGGGGGCUAGCGUUGCUCGGAAUUACUGGGCGUAAAGCGCACGUAGGCGGUCUUUUAAGUCGGUGGUGAAAUCCUGGAGCUCAACUCCAGAACUGCCUUCGAUACUGGAAGACUUGAGUCCGGGAGAGGUGAGUGGAACUGCGAGUGUAGAGGUGAAAUUCGUAGAUAUCAGGAGGAACACCAAUGGCGAAGGCAGCUCGCUGGGACGGUACUGACGCUGAGACGCGAAAGCGUGGGGAGCAAACAGG
rnacentral:rRNA from 1 species